UACGUAGGGGGCAAGCGUUGUCCGGAUUUAUUGGGCGUAAAGAGCUCGUAGGCGGUUCCGUAAGUCGUGAAGUCAAAUCUCUGGGCUCAACCCAGAAUCGCUUCCGAUACUGCGGUGACUGGAGUCCGGUAGGGGAGUGUGGAAUUCCUGGUGUAGCGGUGAAAUGCGCAGAUAUCAGGAGGAGCACCGGUGGCGAAGGCGGAUCUCUGGGCCGAUACUGACGCUGAGGAGCGAAAGCGUGGGGAGCGAACAGG
rnacentral:rRNA from 1 species